rnacentral:rRNA from 1 species
UUGAGGUGACUGAGUGGCGGACGGGUGAGUAACGCGUGGGUAACCUACCCUAUACAGGGGGAUAACAGUUGGAAACAGUUGCUAAUACCGCAUAAGCGCACAGCUUCGCAUGAAGCAGUGUGAAAAACUCCGGUGGUAUAGGAUGGACCCGCGUCUGAUUAGCUAGUUGGUGAGGUAACGGCUCACCAAGGCGACGAUCAGUAGCCGACCUGAGAGGGUGACCGGCCACAUUGGGACUGAGACACGGCCCAAACUCCUACGGGAGGCAGCAGUGGGGAAUAUUGCACAAUGGGCGAAAGCCUGAUGCAGCGACGCCGCGUGAACGAAGAAGUAUUUCGGUAUGUAAAGCUCUAUCAGCAGGGAAGAAAAUGACGGUACCUGCAUAAGAAGCCCCGGCUAACUACGUGCCAGCAGCCGCGGUAAUACGUAGGGGGCAAGCGUUAUCCGGAUUUACUGGGUGUAAAGGGAGCGCAGACGGCGAUGCAAGUCUGAUGU